CAACGCCGCGUGGGGGAUGAAGCUUUUCGGAGUGUAAACCCCUUUCGACCCGGAAGAAAGCCCGCAAGGGUUUGACGGUACGGGUAUAAGAAGCCCCGGCUAACUACGUGC
rnacentral:rRNA from 1 species